CGAAAGCCUGACGGAGCAAGACCGCGUGAGGGAGGAAGGCUCUUGGGUUGUAAACCUCUUUUAUCAGGGAAGAAGACAGUGACGGUACCUGAUGAAUCAGCAUCGGCUAACUCCGUGCCAGCAGACGCGGUAAUACGGAGGAUGCAAGCGUUAUCCGGAUUUAUUGGGCGUAAAGCGUCCGCAGGUGGUUGUUCAAGUCUGCUGUUAAAGCGCGAGGCUUAACCUUGUACAGGCAGUGGAAACUGAGCGACUAGAGUAUGGUAGGGGUAGCGGGAAUUCCCAGUGUAGCGGUGAAAUGCGUAGAUAUUGGGAAGAACACCAGCGGCGAAAGCGCGCUACUGGGCCAUUACUGACACUCAUGGACGAAAGCUAGGGGAGCGAAAGGGAUUAGAU
rnacentral:rRNA from 1 species